rnacentral:lncRNA from 1 species
UAAGGCUUUUGCCUUUAUGGAUUCAUUGUGCAGACUCAGUUGCUGUGCUGGGACUUACAGGGCUCCCUCAAAGCGAGGCAAUCGCAUCCGCCCUUAGAGAUGUCUAGUCACUGACGAGUUGCCAGUCUACUGUGGUAAAGGGCAGUGGAGGAGCUCGGUGGCCUGUGGCCCCUCUACCUCCUUCCCCUAAGGCCCUUAGACAAGCCUCUGGCUUAAUACGGCACGUGUGCCUUCGGGUGGCCGUCGCUGCCAGCCAUCUAGAAGGAACACACCUGGAUACGUCUAUUGGCGCAGUGGCUCGGAAGCGGCGGGAAGCGGUGCCAACUUGCCAGGUGACCCUCGACACGCACCUUGCCCCUGUCUACGUCUGCGCCCUGUUCUUGGGGUGAGGCCAGAAUCGUUCCAGGUCCCUCCCUCCGGGCUGGAGGCGCCUGGCAGGAACGGCCAGAGUCCACCCGCGGGGGAGGGGGUCCACGUGGCCCGCUUGUGCCCACGAUCUCCUUUCUCUGCCCUACGACACGAGGCAUUUAAAGCCAAGUAGAAGAACAGUUAAUGCCCAGAGCGGACGCUGAAAUUCGGCUUCUGCGGCGCCCGCUCCUGCCCCAAGGUUGAUGUCCCGGAGAGCGGCGGGCACGGGAGGGCCCUGGACCUGUGGCGUCGUGCGCGUGCGCGUGCGCGGGCCCGCCGCAGGGCCGGGAAGGGCGCGAGGCCGCCGGGGUGCCCUGCGGCGUCGUGCGCGUGCGCGUGCGCGUGUCUGCCGCAGGGCCGGGAGGGGUGCGAGGCCGCUGGAGGCGUCCUGCGGCGUGGUGCGCGUGCGCGUGUCUGCCGCAGGGCCGGGAGGGGCGCGAGGCCGGGGGCGGGCCGGGUGGCGCUCGGAGCCGCUGACGUUGAAGGGCCCGGCGCCCCCCAUCCUCCGUCCGGCCGCGGGUUGGCCGCCGCCGCCGCGCUCCGCCCCCUUCCUCGGAGGACGCCCGGACGGAACCGAUCGCGGCUGGUUUGAGCUGGUGCGUCUCCAUGACGACACGCGCGGUGCUAUAAGUAGCGGAGCGGCGGCUGGUCGGCUUUGUCAGUCCCCUCGGCCUCCGCCGCCGCCGCCCCUCUGCCAGAGCUCCGGCGCCACCUCGGGCCGGCGGUCCUCCGCGGGAGGGAGCGAGGCGGCGGGCGGCCGGCUGACGGGGGCGGCGGGGCGGCCGGCGGUCCUGCGCGCUCGGGGACGGCAUCUCCAUGGGGCUGGCCCGCGGCGCCCGUGCGCUCUAAGGUGGACUAGCAAAUUCUGUUUUAUCAGAACAUUUCCACUGCUGCACCUGAGGGCACACGCAUCUUCAGCGGGACUUGGAAUUCCAGAGAAUUGCCUUUGUGAGAAACUGGCAAUAAUUUGUUUAACUUCCAUCUCUUAG